rnacentral:tRNA from 1 species
GCUGGGGCUCAGUGGUAGAGUGCUUGCCUAGCAUGAGUGAAGCACUGGGUUCGAUUCUCAGCACUGCA